UGGAGUUUAGUUUAUUAUGUAGAAUUGGUGACUGUUAAUCAUCAGGAUACGCUCUAG
rnacentral:tRNA from 1 species